CUUUAGACGAAUGUUGGAUGUGGAAAUGAAGGAUGGGACUCGAGCUGGCAUUGGUUUGAAAGCAAAACAAAAGAAAAAGAGCCAGUCACUGAUGAAGAAAGGCAGUUGUGGCAAAGUGGAGUGUUUGCCAUGAUGAGCUUUGCAGUUGCUUGUGAAAUCCCCUAAUCCUGGAUAGACUACCAGGCAGGAGGUGAAGCUUUUGGAGAGAAUGUGACAGUGAGAGUAGGUCCUGGUGCUUUGGUUACACAAAUGGAAUUGCAAUUAUCAUUCUUAGAAGUUGUGGCCACCAAACUUGAGUGGGCUAAAGUGCCUUUUACCAAAAGCUUGCAAGGUGAAGUGAGUUGCUUUCGUUGAUGUGCAACUGGCUUUCUGUACCAGAUCACAAGCCUUGGGUGGUAUCACCAUCAAGGUAUGCACCCAGCCCUUUUUCGAUGCAUUGGUUCUAAUCUCAAUGACAGGA